rnacentral:rRNA from 1 species
ACGGAGGGUGCAAGCGUUAAUCGGAAUUACUGGGCGUAAAGCGUACGCAGGCGGUUUGUUAAGUUAGAUGUGAAAUCCCCGGGCUCAACCUGGGAACUGCAUUCGAUACUGGCAAGCUUGAGUAUCGUAGAGGGGGGUAGAAUUCCAGGUGUAGCGGUGAAAUGCGUAGAGAUGUGGAGGAAUACCGAUGGCGAAGGCGGCCCCCCGGACUAAUACUGACGCUCAGGUGCGAAAGCGUGGGUAGCAAACAG